AAGCAGAUGCCUUGAGGUUAUCCUCUGACCUGUACAUGUGUACCAUCGUACGUGUGCUCAUGACACAUGCAUGUGUACGUACAUAUACGCACAUGCAAACAAA
rnacentral:miRNA from 1 species